rnacentral:lncRNA from 1 species
CUGUGGGCUCUGAGAGGAAUCUAGGACACAUUGCACCCACCCAAAUCCUCAUGUGAGAGGUGCCUCUGGAGGGUACCACUCUGUUCACGGUUAGUCACUGCACCUGCACACAUGGACCCACUGCACCUGCACAUGUGAACCCACUGCGUCUGCACACAUGAACCCACUGCACCUGCACACGUGGACCCACUGCACCUGCACACGUGGACCCACUGCACCUGCACAUGUGGACCCACUGCACCUUACUGCACCUGCACACGUGGACCUACUGCACCUGACUGCACCUGUACAUGUGGACCCACUGCACCUGCACACGUGGACCCACUGCACCUGCACACGUGGACCCACUGCACCUGACUGCACCUGUACAUGUGGACCCACUGCACCUGCACAUGUGGACCCACUGCACCUUACUGCACCUGCACACGUGGACCCACUGCACCUGACUGCACCUGCACACGUGGACCCACUGCACCUGACUGCACCUGUACAUGUGGACCCACUGCACCUGCACAUGUGGACCCACUACACCUGACUGCACCUGCACACGUGGACCCACUGCACCUGCAC